CCAGGAGCCUGCACACGGGGACUCCCUGAGGCGCAAAGUACCGAGGCCCCUGGACACGCUGGGCUCCGGAGAAGGAAGGAAUGAAACAUCAGUGAAAACCAGAGCUUUGUUCAGAAAUUGCAGAAGAUAUAACAUGUAUACCAUGACAUUCCCAUUGGCCAAACUGCUGUCAGAUUCCAGACUGUUCAAAGAAAAUUGAUCCAGAGUGGGAGCAAGCUUACACAACUGCCCUUCAAACUCUCGUUGGGAAGUCUUCCUAAAGGUAGAGAUGCGGGCUCGAACACAGG